GACGAACGCUGGCGGCGUGCUUAACACAUGCAAGUCGAACGGAAAGGCCCUGCUUUUGUGGGGUGCUCGAGUGGCGAACGGGUGAGUAACACGUGAGUAACCUGCCCUUGACUUUGGGAUAACUUCAGGAAACUGGGGCUAAUACCGGAUAGGAGCUCCUGCUGCAUGGUGGGGGUUGGAAAGUUUCGGCGGUUGGGGAUGGACUCGCGGCUUAUCAGCUUGUUGGUGGGGUAGUGGCUUACCAAGGCUUUGACGGGUAGCCGGCCUGAGAGGGUGACCGGCCACAUGGGGACUGAAAUCGCGCCCAGCCUCCGACGGGGGGCAGCAGUGGGGAAUAUUGCACAAGGGGCGGAAGCCGGAGGCAGAAACGCCGCGGGCGGGAUGAGGGCCUUCGGUUUGUAAACCGCUUUCCCCUGUGAGGAAGGGUGGGUGAGGGAAAUGGGUAAAGAAGCACCGGCUAACUACGUG
rnacentral:rRNA from 1 species